rnacentral:rRNA from 1 species
ACGGCUGAGUAACGCGUGGGUGACGUACCUGUUGGUGGGGAAUAACUGCCCGAAAGGGUGGCUAAUUCCGCAUAAGUCCUUCGGUUCAAUCUGAAGGGGAAAGCUUCGUAAGAGGCGCCGAUGGAGCGGCCCGCGUCCGAUUAGCUUGUUGGUGGGGUAACGGCCUACCAAGGCGACGAUCGGUAGCUGGUCUUAGAGGAUGAUCAGCCAGACUGGGACUGAGACACGGCCCAG